rnacentral:lncRNA from 1 species
UUUCUAUUGGUCCAAAUUCAAGUUCGUGGAUUGGUCAGUCAUUUCCAUUCUGCUCUCAACUGUGUCCAGUAUAAGAAGGACAUUUAAGAAAAACGUUCACUGAUGCAAAUCAAAACCGCAAUGUGAUACCGCCUUACUCCUGCAAGAAUGGCCAUAAUCAAAAAAUAAAAAAACAGUAGAUGUUGGCAUGGAUGUGGCAAUAAGGGAACGCCUCUACACUGCUGGUGGGAAUGAAAACUAGUACAACCACUAUGGAAAACAGUGUGAAGAUUCCUUAAAGAACUAAAAGUAGAACUACCAUUUGAUCCAGCAAUCCCACUACUGGGUAUCUACCUGGAGGAAACGAAGCCAUUAUUCGAAAAAGAUACUUGCACGUGCAUGUUUAUAGCAGCACAAUUUGCAAUCGCAAAAACGUAGAACCAACCCAAAUGCCCAUCAGUCAAUGAGUGGGUAAAGAAACUGUGGUAUAUAUAUAUGAUGGAAUACUACUCAGCCAUAAAAAGGAAUGAAUUAACAGCAUUUGCAGCGACCUGGAUGAGAUUGGAGACUAUUAUUUUAAGCAAAGUAACUCAGGAACGGAAAACCAAACAUCAUAUGUUCUCACUGAUACGUUGGAGCUAAGCUAUGAGGAUGAAAAGGCAUAAGAAUGAUACAAUGGACUUUGGGGACUUGAGGGGAGGAGUGGGAGGAGGUGAGGGAUAAAAAACUACAAAUAGGGUGCAGUGUAUACUGCUCGGGUGAUGGGUGCACCAAAACCUCACAAAUCACCACUAAAGAACUUACUCAUGUAACCAAACACCACCUGUUCCCUAAUAACCUAUGGAAAUAAAAAAAUUAAAAGAG